AUGACAAACUGACUUAGACUGAGUAGUCUGAAGUGACACUGAAUGUGAACCAGUUCAAACCAGCGUCCUCAGUGGGGUUCCUCAGUACAACACCAGCCAUGAACUGGAGAAGUGCUAGGCCAUGUAGGAGAAGGAGCAAUCUGGCUAAGAAGCCGAGCUGCUUCACAGCCCUGCAGUUUAUUUGCAUCUAUAUGGCAGGAUGAAUCCUGAGCGGUGCAGUCCCGUGGAGCAGGAUCAGAUGGACCCUCCUGGGGCAGGGUCAAGCUCCACAGCUCCCCCCGACAGCAAGUUGUGUGGCAGGAGGAGAGAGAUGUUUCAAAGACAAACUAUACUAAUGAAGAAUAACAGUUUUAGAUCUGCAUCUGCUGAGAUUCAAUUGCAACAGAAGAUCACAGUUUAUGGCUGAAAUAAAACACUAAAUAUAUUCUGAGAUACCAAUAGAGGGAGAAAAAACAUUUGAGAUUGCAACAAUCCUGGAGGUCUUUUCUCAUGAUUACCACUUAAAUGAAGUCCUUUUGCAUCGCUGUGACCAGGAAGAAAAGGAGGGGAAGGAAAAGGGGAAUAUUUUUGUUAUUUUUUCUUAAAUUGGCUUUGUGUUCUGCUCUGACUCUAUCCUGUAAAAUACUAAAUACUCUCAGCUUUAAGUCAGCUAAAGAAGACAGAACUCUCUCAGCAAUGAGUAAUCCCACUGAAGACUCAGGACACACUUACGGGCCUGGUAUCCUGCAGGACUGAACCCUGACUCCUCACUUCCCAUUUUUCAGUUGCAGACUAUUACAUCGCACUUACAACAUCUCUAACCUGAAGAGGAGAAGUUCAAAGAACAUCCAGGAAAUGAAAUCUUAUCCACAAGAAUAUUAAUCUCAACUGGAUCACAUCUGAUUAAACCAUGAGUCAGAAAAACACUUACGCAUGUGCUGAAGUGCUUCCUGUAUCAGGGCCUGUGCUUUUUCUUUGAGACUCACUGACAUUUCAAAAUGAAAUAACGAGUAGCCCAGGGCGUUUUUGUUCCAAAUAUCAUUUUACUAUUGCAGAAGAUACAUGUUUUGGAAUUGCAACUUUUUUUUUUUUUUAAAGGAGGGGGGACAGGACAGUAAAAUAACUGCAAUUCUAGGAAAACAAAGGUAAUAAAUAAGAGCUAGGUAUUAUUAUCAUUCCUGGUAGAACAAAGAUUCUUUGUCAAAGUUUGUUACUUAAGAGAUGCCCUUCAGGUCUACAACAU